rnacentral:lncRNA from 1 species
ACCUCACACAAGAAGGAAAGUGCAGAUUUUCCUAGGUGAUACAGCUGAGAAAAGCAUGGCUGUCGGCUGGGCUCCUCAUGUCUACAGAAGGAAGAGCUAUUGAGUGGUUAUAGCUGAAAGCCUUGCCUGUCUAAGGAAAUGUCAGCAACAUAUUGAAGUAGGAGAAGGAAUAAGGCCUACAAAUCCCCCGGAAUUGUGUGAAGGACGGACUACUUCUGCUCCA